CUAAAAGUGACAAUUCAUCAACUUCACAGAAUAAUAAUUAUUUUUUGUCUCUCCAAUAAUAAGAGACAAAAAAAAAAAUGGUGACAAUUUUUUAUAAGCCUUAAGGAUGUUUUGACAUUGAUUUUUGAUAAAGAGUUUUGUUAAGUCACGCUUAGAGUAGUGUCAUUUGUAUAUUACAACAAAAAAAAAUCCCCCUGUGACACUCACCUUUUUUCCUCUGAGGAGUUUGCAGGUCUGUUAGUUAAUCAGUCUAUAAUGUUAAGUGAAUUGUGCUGUAGGCCAACAUUUACAGUACUUCCACUGCAAACUAGUGAAGACACAUGGACAGUAUAGUAGGCUAAAUAUUUGUAUUCUUUGUCACACAGGUGACACAGGUAGUGUGUACUCCCGUCGGUGCAAGCCUCAUGCGACCACUUAUAGCAAAAAUCACACUGGACCCACUCUUCCCCAGGCAUCGAGGCGCUGAAGGACUCGCAGUUGACGUCCUCGUUGGAUAGGCCUAUAUAAGUUGGAGAAGUAAAGGGUCAGGCAGCAAUAGUGGCGAACUUUACUGCAUCCAGAACAGGACAAAUUAGGCCUAAGUUGGGGGUGACUCCAUCAGCGGGCCCGGUGAUGGAGGGAGGAGCAGCUGAGGUGGCACCAGGGGUGACUCCAGCAAGGGGGGCGGCAUCAGGAGCGGGCGAGAAGAGCCUCUUCUUGGGAGCCCGAGAGGAGGGAGGCUGCUUGGCGGGACGACGCUGCUUCAGAGUUCGGGGUGUCUUAAGCCCGGCCUUAGGGUAAGACCGGACGAUGUCCAGGCUGAAUUCAAGGGCAUCUUGCUCAGGCACGACAGCUUCGUCAGGCCCGGCAGCUCGUCCAGCGCUGACCUCGUCACCUGAAGCCUGGGGAGGAGGACGGUCUGUGGAAUAGGUUCCGGAGAAGUCCUUUUCCUCAAACGCGGAGGGUUUAAAAGGUGGGACGGGUGAUUGUCCAGCAGCCGGAGCAGCUUCGACUCCUUGGACACAGGUGUGACUGGUGAAGUGGGCCAGGUACAGGAGGAAGUCUGGCUCCUUCCUCCAGCCAGUUGGGUUGGCGGUGCCAGCACAGCCAACGGGUCCACCCCUCAUGAAGUGGUCUUCGAACCGCCUACGGGGGAAGAUAAAGAAUGGCGGAACAACGUCGCCCUGCGCAUUGCCUGCCAGGGCAACUGUGACCAGGGUCCCCCUCUCCGCUGAGGUCACCGACCCGACCUGCUUCUGCCCCAUCUGGGCGACGACACGGUCUGGCACCUGGACAGUGGUGACCCCUGUAAAUAGUUGCGUGAGCAUAGUUGUGUAUAUAUAUAGUUAUGUGUACUGUGUAUAUAGUUGUUUUUAUGUGUAUAUAGUUGUUAGCAUAGUUUCUAUUUAGAUAUUUAGUUAUGUGUAUAUCGGUUUUUUUAGAGCUGUCAAGCGAUUAAAAUAUUUAAUCGUGAUUAAUCGCAUUAAUGUCAUAGUUAACUAAUUAAUCGCGAUUAAUCGCAAAUUAUUUUUCUAUGCUAAAUAUCCCUUGAUUUUUUUGUCACAUAAUCCUUCUCAUUUUAAUUCUCUUAUCAACAUGGUGAAGUGCAUCGGCUUGCCUUGUGCAAAUGAUUUUUUAUUGAUAACAACAUUGGCAUAUACACUGAUCAAAACAGGACGAUACAAAAAAAGAGCCUAUGGUGCAAUUAAACGACUGCUUUGAACAAAUGUCAUUUGAACAUAGCAGUCAGGCUACUGCUUCUUUGUUUUGAGCCAAAGAAAUUUUUUUUUUUUUUUUUUUUUUUUCUAUAAAAUAAUUGCGUUAAUCGCGAUAAAAAAAUAAACGCCGUUAAAUUUGGUUAGCGUUAACGGCGUUAAUAACGCGUUUAACUGACAGCUCUAGUUUUUUUCAUAUUUAUAUAGUUGUGAGCAUAGUUUAUUUUUUAUAAAUGUAGUUAUGUGUAUAUAGUUGUGUUUUAUAUUAAUACAGUUCAUAUUAAAUACCGGUUUCAUUAAUGUUCCAAAUAUCCUUGGCCUGGAACUGGUGCCGGUCCAUCACCGUCUUUCAAUUCUGGUAGAAUUAGUUGACAUUGUUUUGAUUGAAGCUGGACAACCGUUGUUGGCUAGUGGCCUCUGGACGCCGAUGGGGGAGGCUGCUACUGCGCUCCAUGAAGGAGGUGAACCAGUCCUUCCUCGACCAGGAUGCAGGGAAUGGGCAGCUGAAAUGCACGGGGUUGUAAAAAGUUGUGUGUGUUUAUGUUAUUUGUUCAUAUUUAUUAAUUAAAGUAUGUGCAUAGCAUACAUGUGUGCCUGUCCAAAAAUGUAUGUAGCCCUUUUCACAACACUGACCUCAUUUGGGGUGAGCCCAAUAUGAAUGGCUUCACUGCCCUCCUCUGCCCUCCCCUUGAGGUAGCGUGACAACGUGAACAUGAUGUUGUCCCAUGCAGGAACCAGCCCACGGGAGGUGGUUCUCCUUCUGACGCGUGGCAUUUUUCCUCUCAGUAAUCUGUUGAUGCA
ensembl:lncRNA